GAGGAAUUUUGCGCAAUGGGGGAAACCCUGACGCAGCAACGCCGCGUGGGUGAUGAAGGCCUUCGGGUCGUAAAGCCCUGUCGGGCGGGAAGAACGUCCCUUCGGGGAAUGACGGUACCGCCAGAGGAAGCACCGGCUAACUCCGUGCCAGCAGCCGCGGUAAUACGGAGGGUGCAAGCGUUAUUCGGAAUUACUGGGCGUAAAGGGCGUGCAGGCGGGAGAGCAAGUCUGAUGUGAAAGCCCGGGGCUUAACCCCGGAAGGGCAUUGGAAACUGCUUUUCUUGAGUUCUGGAGAGGAAGGGAGAAUUCCCGGUGUAGAGGUGAAAUUCGUAGAGAUCGGGAGGAACAUCAGUGGCGAAGGCGCCCUUCUGGACAGCAACUGACGCUGAGACGCGAAAGCGUGGGGAGCAAAC
rnacentral:rRNA from 1 species